rnacentral:lncRNA from 1 species
UAGGAUUGGAGCAGAGAUACAACAUUGCUCUUGGCACAGCAAAGGGUUUGUCAUAUUUACAUGAGGAAUGCCUAGAAUGGGUGCUCCAUUGUGAUGUAAAGCCUCAAAACAUACUGUUAGAUGACGACCUUGAACCUAAAGUGGCAGACUUUGGCAUGUCAAAGCUAUUCAAAGACAUCCAAGGCAUCAGGGACAUCGAUGGGAUGGGAUUUUCGAAAGCGCGGGGCACCAGAGGCUAUAUGGCUCCAGAGUGGAUGAUGAACCUGAAAAUUGAUGCAAAGGCAGAUGUCUAUAGCUAUGGGAUUGUUUUGUUGGAACUACUGAGUGGAAUAAGUGCUUCUAUUCUCAUAUCAGCUCUUGCCAAAGAGUACAAUGAAUGCAACCAUUUGGCACAAUGUGUGACUGAAAAGAUCAGAAAAGAAGGGCUUGAGGAAGUACUUGAUCCUAGACUACUUGGUGAACUCGAUAAGAAGAAGCUCGAAAGAUUGAUGAAAGUUGCCCUACUGUGUGUUCAAGAUGAUCGCAGUGCAAGGCCAGCCAUGAGCAAGGUUGUGGAGCUUCUACUUGAAAAUGACCAGUAAGGGCCAGAUGAAGAAGAUCAGAGAGAGAGAGUGAAUAAUAGAAGCUAAAUGUACAAUAAAUAAUAUGUUAUUCUUACAUUUGUUUAGCUUCCCAUUAAAUGUAAUGAUAGGUUACUAGGCUUGGAGCAUUCCAGCUGAAUAAAAACUGUGAUUCCAACAAUUGUUUCAAGUUUCUGUAUGAUAUAUGAUUCAGUUUUCAUUCUUCGAAUCAACAAUCGUUUAUAGAAAAUCGAAAAAAUUAAAACCAUGAACAGAACUAUGAAUAAAUGGUUCUACAGCCAAACAAAUUAAUACCAUGAACAGAAGUAUAAAAACUAUUAGAGCUAUUGUCGCUUGAGUUAAAGUUUCCUUCAACUGCAUCUUUUGUAAUAUUUGCAAUGGACUAGAUACGUAAGCCUAUAACAUCAUUUUCUCUUUUGUGAAAAGAAUCAAUUACAUGUGGGAUUUGUGCAUGUUUUUUUAAUUUGAUCUUCUGCAAUCAAGGUUGCAAACAUCAUUUUCCAAAGUUAAAUAGGGGUAAAAAUAAACUGCCGCCUGAUUAAAAAAGAAAUUGGCUUGCAUCCCACACACAACGAAGGAAUGGAGAAAGGAAUGCCUAUUGUCCCUUCCUGCCCUUUAAAAAAAAAAAUUAUAUUUCCCUAGAUUUGCAUGCAUAGCUGGCAGUCGCGCGUGGCGACGGAGUCAUUGAAUUUCAUAGAAUUUCAAUAUUUCAUGGAAAGGAAGGUAUUAAAAGUAGUAAUUGCGUCUAGAAACUAGAUAUUUGAUCUAUUAAAAAAAAUUUGAGUUUCAAUUUGCAUGUUUGAAUGAUUCUGCACAACAGUCCAAAAAAAAGGAGGGGGCGGUUGUUGGUUUGGGAGUGGGUGGUGUGGGGGAGAUUCUGCACAAUUUCGUUCUCAUGGCAAGAAAACAACCUUAUUGUUGGGUUCUUAGAAGAACAAUAUAGAGUGAUUUUAUUUAUUCAACAAUAGAUGGGUACAAAGCUUUAUAGAAGACUAGGCUUAUUGGCCUUCAACAACUAGAAAAUUAUAUAUAUACUAACGGCAAUCCAUCCCUACACUGUCCUUAAGCACAGUGUAAUGACGGAAAUGCCCCUCUUUUUAAAUGUUGUUUUUAGUUUAGUUUUCUCUUCAGCACAGUGAAUUUCCGAAAAUGCCCUCCACUUAACCUUUUCUGAUCUUCCCUUUUUGCCCCUUCUCCUUUUACUAAAAUACAUAAAUGUAAAAAUUAAAAAAAGAGAUAAAGGAAUAGAUGGAGAUAGUCUGACAGAUGGAAAGAGGAAGAAGAAGGAAAAAGAAAAAGAAAAAUAGAGAUAGACAGGCGGACCCAACAAGAGACAAAGGUUUUUUAUUUUAUAAUUUCCUAUAAAUUGUAUAUUACUUAUAAUUAUAUGUAUGUUUUAAUUAGAGUGGUGAUUUCCCCACUUCAAUUUUAUCCACUUACACUCUAUUUUAUAACUAAAAAAGGAGUGUAAGUGGAUAAAAUUGGAGUGGGGAAAUCAUUACCCUUUAAUUAAUAUAUAGAGAGAGAGAGUUUAUGUCUCAUGUAGUUAAAUGUAUGUUUAAUCUUGGUGUGUAUAAAUAUAACUUGAUGUUUGCUCUAGACAAUUAGAAUACUACAAUUGUUAAGCCCCAUUUAGUGUACUUAUUUUACAAGUGAUGUUUGUUGUAAAAGUUUGAAGGUGAAGCCCACAGAGGAAGUUUCCUUGCAUCUUCCAGGAACUUUCCCUUCCCUGUAUUUAUCAAUUCAGGAAGUUUCCUUGCAUCUUCCAGGAACCUUCCCUUCCCUGUAUUUUGCCUAAACAUUAGCCUAUAAAUAGGCAUACCAAUUGUAAAGGGGAAGGUGACCAACGGAGAAAAGAAAGAAAGGGGAGAAGAGAAAAAGAAGAGAGAAGAAGAAGAGAAAAGAAGAAAGAAAAGAAGAGAAAAGAAGAAAGAAAAGAAGAGAAAAGAAGAAAGAAAAGAGAGAAGAAGAAAGAGAGAGAAAAUUCAGUGAGCCUCACAUAUUGUAAACUCUAAAGUUGUAGCCCUAUUAUUUUAUAUAGUGAAAAAGUUACUGCUGCUGCUCUCCGAGGACGUAGGCAUAGCCGAACCUCGUUAAAUGCUGUGUCUCAUCUACUUUACGUGCAGCUCAAUAUUCAUACAUAUUCCAGGUUAUUUUUAUAACAAUGUUUAUGUAUAAAAUUAAGAACAAUUUGACUUAUUCACAUUAAAAGAAAAAAAAAAUCUUAUCGAUUCUUACACAAAAGGAAAACUCGUCCCUCUCACCAUUUUUUUCUCCUACAAACUCUCCUCUCUCUCCAUGAUUGGAUUUCUUAAAAAGCAAACGUGAAAACCAGAAGAUGGUUUGUAUGUGCUACCUCCCCAAUUGGAUCUUCAUUGGAGCUCUCUCACGGCUCAAUCAUUCUUUACUUCAUGAAUUCACACGUACGAUUUGGCACAUCCAAAUUUCAUUAACCGAUCUUAUAAUUUGACUUGGAUUUAUUUCACUUCCUCAAGGAAAAUCAUGGGUUUCAAUAAAAUUUUAGAAGUCAUAUGGAGAGAGGGAGAGUAUAGUGGAGAGAAAAAAUAGUGGGAGAGGGUUGGGGGUUGCGGGUGGGGGUUUGGGAUGUAGCUGUGGCAUGGGUUACGGGUGGGGAUGGGGGUGGUGGGCGAGAAAAAUAGUAGGGGGAGAGUAGAGAGAGAGGGCAGAUGGGGGAUGGGAAAGAACAAAAAGAAUUUUCAACUUUUUUCUUAAUUUUGAUUUUAAAUUUUUUAAUGAUUUUUUUUAUUUUAAAAUGUUUUUAAAAAUAUAUAUUUUUUAUCUUAUCCACGUGUCACGACAUUGUUGGAGAUAUGGAGCCCACUUAUCUUCCAUGUCAGCAAUUUAACAGAGUUUCUAACAUCACAUACCAUUUUUGUUAUAUCAUUCGUGGUCCUUAAGGUUAGUAUGUGUGAUCACAAAUAGUCCAUGACGUUAGAUUCCGUCAAAAACUCCGUUAGUUUGCUGACGUGGCAUAUAUAUAUAUAUAUAUCACAAAACAUUCUUGAGGUUCACGCGCUUAUCACAAAUGGUCACUGCGAAUUUUUUAAUUUAAAAUUCAUAAAAUUUUGGUUUUCUUUUUAAAAUUAUUUAAAAAUAUAUUUUAUAUUUUAAAUACAUGUGACACUAUAUUAUUGGAGAUAUGGGCUCCACAUAUAUGCCACAUCAACCAACUAAUGAAGUUUUUUUAAAAUCAUUUAAAAUUCAUAAAACUUAAAAAUGAAAAAAGUUUAGGGUCCAUAAAUGGUCCUCAAGGUCAAAAUCCUUCUACAUAUAAAACAUGUUAUUUAUUUUGUAACUUAAACUUGCUAUAUAUUUUCAUAACUUUAUACACAUUUCAGACGAUUUUAAAACCCGCAGCAUCGUGCAGGCACCUUUACUAGUAUUUAUCUAUAUAUCUAUCUUCGUUCUUUUUUGGUUCCGAAUCUGAUCGAUCAAUCAAAGUCACUUGAAAACUUAAAAGAUCCAGUGGCCGACAUGACUUGAAAACUUAAAACGUAUGUGUCCAUUGUGCCACAGAAAAUGAAAUGCAUAAUAGAAAAAACCACUAUCCAAAUCAUGCAGGAUCACAUAAUUGAAACCCUUUAAUCAGAUAAGCUCCUUCAAACCCCACAUUUCCUUUUCCCUAAAGCCUAGCAGCCAAAGGAAAGUUGUCAAGUACCUUUUGGCAAGUGAUUUUUAAAGCCCGUUUGUAUUGACUGAAAAAUAAAUGCUAGUGUUUACUAGGCUUAUUGGCCUCCUUCCUAUAUUUUGGCUUAUUGGCCUCUUCUCUCUUAGUCCACUUAUACAAGAGGCAACACCUAUUUAUAGAUAUAGACUUUCUUCUCAUUGCCACUAGUUUACAAGAUUUUUAGUAGGAAUUUUCUAGAAUGCCUACAAUAAUUAUGUCUUAAGAGUAUCCACAAUAAUGCUCUCUAUUUCUUAGCUAAAAUUUAACUAAAAAUAUAAUAAAACUAUUUUAGGAGCUCUCUAAAAAAUUUCAACUCUAACCAUACCCCAUAAUUUGGAGAGUCAUAAAUGCUAUAACUCUUUUUUGAUUGGUCCGUCUCUAUUAAAAAAUAAAAAUAAAAAUAGUUAGCAUUAAAUAAAGGUUUGAAAUACUCAUUAAAUAAAGCUGCAUUAAAUUAUAGGGAGUCACUAGAAGUCCUUUCUCUCUCCUCAGAUUUAGGAGCUCCUAGAGGACUCCCUAUUUUAGGAGGUGGAUAGGGAGCGUGGUUGGAGUUGCAUUUUUACGAUUCCUCCCUAGAAUUUGUCUGAGGUGGUUUAAGGGGCCCAUUGUAGAUGCUCUAAAGCUUGACUUUGUCAAAAUUGGUGAAUAUUUCUUGAGGUUUCCAUUUUUACUAGAUUUUUCUAAAUUCUUCAAGAUAAUUGUGCAUUAAAUUUAACACUUAUAAUCCAGACUGGCCAAACACCAUCUUCAGGCCUAAAGCAUUUUUCAAAAACACAACAUGGAAGUUCCCAAAUUUCUCAUUAUUUUGCUGCUUGCAGCCACAAUUGCUAGAAGUGAAGCACGGUUAUCAAGCUUAAGGCAGGGGAGCUCCUUGAAAGUUGAGGAAGAGAGUGACUUCUUGGUUUCACCAAAUGGAACUUUCUCCAGUGGAUUUUACAAGGUUGACACCAGUGCCUCUUGCUAUUCAAUAUGGUUCACCAAUUCUGUCAAUAAAACAGUUGUCUGGAUGGCUAACAGAGAUAAGCCUGUUAGUCGAAGAGGGUCCAAGCUAACUCUCCACAGAAAUGGCAACUUGGUUUUGACUGAUGGGGUUGGAUCCAUUGUAUGGUCAACCAACACUUUCUCUGAUGCAGGCGUGGAGGCUCAGCUUCUUGAGACCGGAAACUUGGUUCUCAUCAACCAAGAAAAGAUGGUCAUCUGGCAGCCCACAGAUACACUUCUGCCAUCCCAGCGACUUGUCAAGGACACAACCUUGGUGUCAGUGAGAAGUCAAGGUACAUACUUAUCUGGAUUCUACAACUUCAGAUUCUACGACAAUAAUGUAUUAUAUCUCAUGUACAGUGGCCCUCUCUUUUCGAGUGUUUAUUUUCCAAAGCAGGAUAAAACUGUUUUCGAUUUUAAAAGAACACCUUACAAUAGCUCUAAAGUGGCAAUUUUGGAUGAGGCUGGACAAUUUAUAUCAAGUGACGAUUUCAUGUUCAAUGCAUCUGAUUAUGGAAUUGGCCCAAAGCGCCAGUUAACAAUGGAUUAUGAUGGUAUCUUAAGAUUGUACAGUCUAGAUGAAUCAACUGGGCUUUGGGAAAUGUCAUGGUUGCCUGAUGGUGUGGAUGCAUACGGUAUGUGCACUUACAAACCACAACCUACUUGUAGUUGCCCUUAUGGUUUCUCCCUAAAUGAUUCUUCAGACGGGUCGAAAGGCUGCUCACCUUGGUUCAAUUUGAGUAAUGAUGCAACCAAGUCAGACUUCAUGGUGCUUCCUAACACAGAUUACUAUGGAUAUGACAUGGAAACCUAUGCUCUUGGAAUUUCUUUUAGCGCAUGCAGGAAUGCAUGCCUAACUGAUUCUAGAUGCAAAGGAUUCGGAUAUGCUCUGGAUGGAAAAGGGCAAUGUUACCCUAAAUUUUUUCUCCUUAAUGGAUUUCAUAAGCCGAAUACUUCCCAAAUCAUGCAUAUUAAAAUUCCAAAAGGUUUUCUGAGCAAGGAUGAAGUCAUAACGAAGCUAGAAACAUACGAUUUGAACUGCUCAGCUGCACAAGUUUCUCUCAAAACUAGUGAUCUUGAAGUGGAAAAGAGCAACAAAAAUCGAUACAUGGUUUACCUGGUUGGAUUUGUAAGUUCCUUCGCAAUAAUUGAAGCAAUCUGCAUUGGUUUGACAUGGUGGUACGCCUUCCGAAAGCAUGCUCAUGAGGAAUUUGUGAAUAUGGGUGACAUCGCACUAGCCACGGGAUUCAAGCGUUUCACGUACGCAGAACUAAAAAGAGCCACCAAUGGCUUCAAACAGGAGGUAGGAAAAGGUGGCUUUGGAACUGUGUAUAAAGGUGUUCUAGAUAAAAGAGUUGUUGCUGUGAAGAGACUAGAUGGCAUCUUGCAAGGAGAUGCAGAGUUUUGGGCACAGGUGAGUGUGAUAGGGAAUAUCAAUCACAGGAACUUGGUUAAACUAUGGGGUUUCUGUGCUGACAAUGAGCAUAAGCUGCUCGUCUACGAGUACCUGGAGAAUGGAUCACUGGACAAAAUCUUGUUCACAUCAGAUGGGGAACUAGGAUUGGAGCAGAGAUACAACAUUGCUCUUGGCACAGCAAAGGGUUUGUCAUAUUUACAUGAGGAAUGCCUAGAAUGGGUGCUCCAUUGUGAUGUAAAGCCUCAAAACAUACUGUUAGAUGACGACCUUGAACCUAAAGUGGCAGACUUUGGCAUGUCAAAGCUAUUCAAAGACAUCCAAGGCAUCAGGGACAUCGAUGGGAUGGGAUUUUCGAAAGCGCGGGGCACCAGAGGCUAUAUGGCUCCAGAGUGGAUGAUGAACCUGAAAAUUGAUGCA